CAAGCCGUAAAUUAUGCUUGCUAGAUGUUUCCACUCAGUGGAAGUGUCGUAACCUAACGGGUUAAGCAAGCCGCCUGGGUAGUAUACUCGCAAGAGUGAAACUCAAAGGGAUAGGCGGGGGAACACACAAGCAGUGGAUUGUCUCGAUUAAUUGGAUAACAAGCCAAGAACCUUACCAGGACUUGACAUGCAUUGUGUCUACGAUGAAAGUCGUAUAUCCGUAGCAAUACGGAGCUUUGCACAGGUGG
rnacentral:rRNA from 1 species